rnacentral:lncRNA from 1 species
GAUACAGAUGUAUGGCGAUAUAAUAUUUUCAAAACGAUGUGGGGAUUCCCUCGGGUCCUCCCUCUUGAUACCUUCAGAAACCCGAGCAACGGAUACCUCUUCAAUGGAGAUAACUGCGAGUUUGGUGUUGAUGUGACUGUUCAUUCUCCCUUUGAAAGUUCAGAACUUUUCACUGUCGCUAGGAAUUUCCCUAACCCGAGGUUCACCUGGACUAUUCAGAGGUUCUCCACGCUGGUCGGAGAUACGCAUCUCUCUAAUACGUUCUCGGUCGGAGGAAGGAAUUGGUGAGUGAGUCCUGUCCAACACUAGUUCAAGACUAAUUAGCGUAUUGUGGUAGUAACAGAUAUUCCAUAUGAUUACCCGUUCUAAGCAUAAACAAAGUGAAAUAUCAGUCCAUUGUUUUAAAAUUUUAAGAAUAUAUAUAAGCUCCAAAAUUUGUUUAAAGAAAAUCUAUUAAAAAUUUUAAUGAAAUUAGUAAAUUUUCUAUAGUCCCAUAAUCUCGUGUCCGAAUCGAAUAUUACAUAUUAAAAACCUUUUGAUGGAUCUUGUUAUACAGGUCACUUAUUGUGUAUCCCAACGGGAACAGGCAGGAUAGUGGCUCAGGGUUCAUUUCGCUUUAUUUAGCCAUAGACAACUCGACUCUCCUUUCUUCGCAUCAAGAGGUUUUCGCAGAUCUCAGGUUUUACGUAUUCAAAAGGACCGAGAGGAAUUUCUUCACCGUCCAAGGUUCUUUCUAAUUUUUCCAUUCUAUCAAGAAACAUGCAAUGUGUAUAUACUAUAUAGUAGUAACAUCUAUCUUUGUUUCAAUCCGCAGAUACAGAUGUAUGGCGAUAUAAUAUUUUCAAAACGAUGUGGGGAUUCCCUCGGGUCCUCCCUCUUGAUACCUUCAGAAACCCGAGCAACGGAUACCUCUUCAAUGGAGAUAACUGCGAGUUUGGUGUUGAUGUGACUGUUCAUUCUCCCUUUGAAAGUUCAGAACUUUUCACUGUCGCUAGGAAUUUCCCUAACCCGAGGUUCACCUGGACUAUUCAGAGGUUCUCCACGCUGGUCGGAGAUACGCAUCUCUCUAAUACGUUCUCGGUCGGAGGAAGGAAUUGGUGAGUGAGUCCUGUCCAACACUAGUUCAAGACUAAUUAGCGUAUUGUGGUAGUAACAGAUAUUCCAUAUGAUUAACAGGAAUAUACAAGUGAAUCCACGUGGCCGUUCAACGGGGGCGGGAAGAGCCAUGUCGAUGUAUCUUAUCCUUAAUGCGAACGAGAAAGUUAGACCCAAUGAGAAGAUUUAUGUUCGAGCAAGGCUUAGAGUUAUU